CAGCAGCCACGGGAAUACGUAGGUGGCAAGCGUUGUCCGGAAUUAUUGGGCGUAAAGGGCUCGCAGGCGGUUUCUUAAGUCUGAUGUGAAAGCCCCCGGCUCAACCGGGGAGGGUCAUUGGAAACUGGGAAACUUGAGUGCAGAAGAGGAGAGUAGAAUUCCACGUGUAGCGGUGAAAUGCGUAGAGAUGUGGAGGAACACCAGUGGCGAAGGCGACUCUCUGGUCUGUAACUGGCGCUGAGGAGCGAAAGCGUGGGGAGCGAACAGGAUUAGAUACCCCUGUAGUCCCUGUCUCUUAUAC
rnacentral:rRNA from 1 species